AUUGAACGCUGGCGGCAUGCUUUACACAUGCAAGUCGAACGGUAACAGGCCUUCGGGUGCUGUCGCGUGGCGAACGGGUGAGUAAUGCAUCGGAAAGUACCCAGCGGUGGGGGAAAACGCAGCGCAAGCUGUGCUAAUACCGCAUAGGAUCUGAGGCUGAAAGCGGGGGACCGAGCAGCAAUGUUUGGCCUCGCGCCUUUCGUGCGGCCGAUGUCGCAUUAGCUAGUUGGUGGGGUAAAGGCCUACCAAGGCGACGAUCCGUAGCUGGUCUGAGAUGACGACCAGCCACACUGGGACUGAGACACGGCCCAGACUCCUACGGGAGGCAGCAGUGGGGAAUUUUGGACAAUGGGCGCAAGCCUGAUCCAGCAAUGCCGCGUGCGGGAAGAAGGCCUUCGGGUGGUAAACCGCUUUUGGCAGGAACGAAACGGUGUCCGCUAAUACCGGGCGCUAAUGACGGUACCUGCAGAAUAAGCACCGGCUAACUACUUG
rnacentral:rRNA from 1 species